GGAGCGCUGGCCCCUGGCACCGCGCGGGUCACGGCUCUGCGAGUGCUUUUUGUGGGAUGAGCGGUCCUUCCCCUUUCUCCCUCCAGGCUGGGAUGGACUCGGAACCUGAGGGUCCAAGGGCCAGAAAUGUUUCAUCGGGCAGGCUCCCACACUGAGAAGGAGCCAGGAUGACCAUGGGGCGAUGUGCUGGGGAAGGAUCCGGGCAGGCAAAGAGCGGGGAGCUGGCAGGACAGGCACGUGUAGGGGAAACUCCGUCCAUCCUCACGCCCGGUUGGGGUCUUUGUUUGAGGUCUCCGCAGAGCACACGAGCCGGUGAACCAGGCUCGCUGUCCCCACUGGUGUCACACCCGUGACCCGGGCUGCCUCCGUGGUGGAAGUAGGUGGUGAAAGGUCCCGGUGGGAUGGGUGGCAGUUCCCCUGCAGCCGGCUGCUAACCCCGCAGCCCCGUGUCUCGCUGUGCACGGCACAGCUUUGCACGGUUCUGCAUAGUUUUGCGUGGCAGGCUCGGCACAGCCGGGCACGGAGCAGGGUCAGGGCAGGAGAGUCUGCAAAGGGAAAUCUCGGGUUCCUGACUCCGGGAUGGGGGUGUUUGUGCUCUGCUGUAUCUCUGGGGUGUCUCUCUCCACGAUGCCGUGGGGUACAGGUAGUUCCUUAGGUGGGCUCCUGCUGUCUCUGGGAGCGUGUAUGUGUGGGGUGGGAAGUGUUUGCCUGACAGCUGUCUGUGGGACUGACAACACCCUCUCCCUCCACCAGCCCAGAGUGCCAGAGGUGGCCUCUCUGCAGGGAGGUGAUGCUGGCUGAGCUGGAGCCCAAAAUCCCACACUUCCCAGUGGCUCCUUGGCCAGCGUGGAGCAUUCCAAGCCCGGCUGGACACAGAGAACUUCCUAUUGCUCAGAGAAGAGCCUCUUGCAGCUGUGUGGGUGGCAUGGCUUUGUGGGUGCCAGGGCUGUGUUAUCUUGUUCCAACCCCCCCUUUCAGUCUGUUUGCUCAGGUGGACUUUGCUUUGCAGCAGGAGGAAGCUCGGGCCCAUGAGAUAGAAAGGUGUUGUGUCCCAACCUGCUGUGAACCUUGGAGCCUUCUGCCAGGGGUUGCUCUGGUGCCUCUUCCCCUUUCAGCUGUGCUCCUUGCAAGCUCCUGGGGUCCCCUCUUCCAUCUGGGGGGGGGGGGGGGUGCAGGGGCAAGCCCACCUCUCUCUGAGAUGGCAGCAGAAGCCAUGGAGAUUUUGGAAGCAAUGCCACACUCCAAGUACUCCAGCACAUGUGCAGGGAAGCAGCCCCAUGGCUCCUCUUAAAAAAAAACAAUAUUAAAACAUUGCAAGAAGUCAUGGCCCAGCAGGGAAAUUUAAGGGAGGGAGGGAGGACUCUCAAGCCUGCAGAUUACAAACUUGUACACUCCAGUGUAUUCCCAGGCAAUGGAAAUCCAAACUCAUUGCAGAUCCUCUAGGUAGGCCCUUGGAGAGCCUGGGGUGUGACCUGGGGACUGCUGGUGUCUUGAGGUGUUGAUUUAUUUAUUUUUUUCCAGCAUUUUUCACUUGCUCCAGCUCUUCUGGAGAGCUCAGAUCUCAUCCACAAACCCAGCAGAGGGUGUGUUAUCUCCUCUCUGGCUCUCAUCCUUAUUAUAGUCGAGCUGCUUCUGGGUUCAGGUUCUCUGAAGGUAUCUGGCUGCAGUCUGUUAAAUCCUCAGCUCCAUGCAUCCCCUCAGCUCCUGCUGGAGACAUUCACAUGGUCCCUGGAAGGCUUUGCAAGCCUUGGACUGGCAGGAGCGCCUUCCUCCUCUUCAGUUUUACAGCAGUUGGGAACUGGCUCUCUCUGCUUCGUGGCUUUGCUGGAAAAAAAAUAGCUGAGAAAAGCCAGGAAAUCAUAAAGGAGCGGGGAGCUGGCUGUGCAGUGAGUAAUGGGGUGAGCAGGCAGCAGCCUGGCCAGGCUCCCCCCUCUGCACCCAGGCAGUUCCCUCUCUGCUCAUCUCUCCAAAAUUACACAACUUCUCUCCAGUGAAGGUCGUGGGGUUGGUUCUGAGUGUUCACAGAAGCAGCUGGGGUUGUUGCCCUGCUGCCCCAAGCCAGAUUGCGUGGCUGUGCUGUGGCCAGGAUGCUGGGGUUUUUCCACAAAUGAUUUUUCCACUUCCCUGGCUCAAACUGCAGGGGGUUAGUCCAAAAGGCAGGUUUUUUUUUUUUUUUUUUUUUUUUUUCCCCUCCUCUCUGCUGGCAAUUUGUGGUUGCCAGACCAGGGGCUGGAGAAGAAAGGAGCUAAAUGAGAUCACUGUUCAUUGCUUUCCUCUGACACUGGUGGGACUUGAGCAGCACCUGAGGCUUCCACAGAGCUGGGAUUUUCAUUUCUCUUCCACCCCUGCCUCUCCUCCAGAGCUGAACCUGGAGGAGCUGUGUCCUCAGAGCACACCAGGUUUUUUGUUCUUUAGUGCAGCACUAAAUUGAUCAGUGAGAGUCCAACCUGGGACUUGCUGUUUACUGGGCAGUGUAACAGUGAUCAUUUAUAUCACAUUUGCAAGAAUGGGAUGAAAACACUUAUUUUCCUGCAUAGCAGGGGGGGGGGAAAGUAAUAAAACAGUGAAGGGGGACAGCAACCCUAAAUGUUGUGUCUAAUCUGAAGAGCAUGAUCUUGCCCGCCGUUAAAAACGUCCUGAGAACAAAGUGGGUGGUUUUAUUUCAAGGUCAGCACAGAGACGCAGAAAAGUUUCUUUUCCCCUUUGACUGCUGGAAAAGUUGAGUUGGAAACACAAGGGAGCAAGUCUGGGUAAUGUUUUUUUUUAACACUUGCCCUGCCAGUCCAUCCAGGAGGGUCCUUGCUGACAAGGCUGACGUUGUGUGGUAUAUUUUGGUGUGGUGUUUUCAGAAUUUCCUUCUGACCAGGGGCCAUUGUGUUUGUUGACAAAUGACCAGGUGACACAGGAAAGCAUCUGUCCAAGAUUGUAUCUGUGUGAUUGGGAAAGCAGACUGUUCUCUGGAGAGGUGCCAAAAAUAGAAAGGGAGGGUCAUUCAGGGCAGGAGGGAUGGGGUGGGCUCGUUAAAACACGGUGAUGUUUGUUACUCUGACCUGUAGAAUCUUAUGGCUGUGAAAAGGUGCUCUUUUUUCUUUUCCCCCUCUUUCCCAGCACAUCUUUGAUUCCCCCUGAAUAUGAGGCAACACACCAAAGUGACUUCAUUCUAGUAAGAGAGGAGUUAAAAAACAUGAUCCCCACCCACUCAGCUGGACCCCCAGUGUGGAUGCAGGAACACACUGCAGUGUGCUGUCCAAGCAUGUGGAAUUCUGGCCAGCUGUGGCUGUUCCCUGGGGCCCUGACCACAGCAAAGGCUGCUGACAGGGCACAGAAUUUGGGCCCAGGAGGGCUGGUGUCAUCCUGUGUCCCCUGCAGCACAUCCCCUCUGCCUGUCCCCCUUCCCGGAGCAGCCACGUGACAGCAGAGGCAAAAGUGGGUCCCACAGCAGCACUGAAGGCCUUGAGAGGGGGGAAAAAAUUUUGGCAGGAAAGCUGAAUGGGUUGCAGGGAGGAAGGCAUUGAAAUAAUUAAUUUCCCUGGGAACUGGUUUGCUCCACUCCAAGUGGAGGGAUCUGGACCACACAGGCUCGUGAGUCCCUGCUGGGUGAACCCCAAAGACGGGUUUUGGGUUGUUCUCACCCCCCAGAUGACAGUCCCUGGAGGAGCUGGCUGAGGACAGCAUGAGGAGGGGAGAAGCUGGAUGGUUUCCCCGCUCCUCCUUGCAGGCCAGUCUUUGCUGCAGGUCCCUUGGGUAGGCACAGGGAUGUUGGGAGCUCGGAGCGCUGUUUUCCUCCCUUUAGGAACGAGGAGCUGCUCCCCCCUUGCCAGGAGGGCCCAGGCUGUGGUUGCCUGCAGUGCCACUGAACUGGCUGCCCCCUGUUACACCAAGAGUUUGCCACUCAAAUCCAAAUAGGAGAUGAAUUGUCCCUGCAGGUCAGGGCUGAGGAUUCCCGACGCCCCCGCGGUGAGUUCACCCGGAGAGUCCCCACAACGCUCUGCUGGGACUUGUUCCCUGCUGGGAAAUUUUGCAGAAACCCAGAGGUUAAGGGUGCUGUUUGUGUUGCCUUGGCUGGGUACCCACCUUGGCACUGAUUCACUCUGCUCCUGCUGCCGGGAAAGAGGGGAGGUGGCUGAGGGGGGAAAGGUGCUCGCUGAGGAGGAGAAACUUCGGUGGCUCUUUCCAGGUGAGAUGUUUUUUUGAGUGACAUGCUUUGGUUCUUGCUCCACCUGAGCCAUAACCAGGGCAGGGAGAGCUGGGAGGUUGAGGAAAGCCAAGCAAGGCUUUGGGACAGGCUGGGGGAAGAGAAGAGCUUGACUUCUUGCUCAGCACAGGGUGGCCACUGCAGGGUACAUGUCUCUCAGAACAUGGACAUCCCCAGCAAGGAUCACUUUGGGUUUGCUUGGAGCCGGGGAAAGGUGGGAUUUGUCUCCUCAGAAGGACUCGUGCCACAGGAGCCAGGUCCUUGAACAACACAGCUUUAUUAAAGCUGUUCUUGGCUCACUGGCUGUUUCAGUGCUGGCAGCACGGCCCGUUCCUGCCUUUUCCCAGUGCAUCUCCCUCGGUGUCAGCAAAUGUUGUGCUGGAAAUCCCUGACACCUGGAGUUGAGGCAGGGGGGAGCUGUGAAUCUCUCACAGGUCUCAGCCACGAGGAGGAAGAAGCUGGCUGUCUGAAGGCUAAUUCCUAAAUAGACGGAUCAGGAGGAUUAAUCAGUUGCUCAGCACGUUCUCAUUUUACAGAAAUUGCCUCCAACCUGGGAAGUGCUGCACUGUUUUUAAUCUCCUGCCUGUAGAGGUUUUCAGCCUGAGUGCAAAACAUGGUUAUCCCUGUUUGCUUCUUUCCAGACUGAAUGCUGAUUGUUCAGAGUGAAUUAAAAUUAAAUCCACAGCUGAAGAACAUGCCAGAGUCAGCUCCUGGUUUCAGUCCACUCGUCUGUGGGCUGUGCUCGGUGUGGGAGCUCGCAGCUGGAAGAUGGAAGGCAGCUGGACUGAAUGUUGGGUGGCAAUGUGGGUCGUUCCAGUGGUGCCAGUGUCUCAGUGGGAAAUCUCCCCAUUAAAUCUGCGAAAAAAACAACGACUCCAUAGCAAUUUCACAAGCAUUUUUGGUAUCUCUCCCUUCCCAAGCCUUCUUCGUGACUUAUGACCAGGUCAGAAGGUCUGUAGGUAAAAUGCCAAAACUGUUGACCCAGGCAGAAAAGGAGGUCUGCUGUAGCUGAUCAUAAUGGGUUAUUCUGGCUUUAACAUUUCGAGUUUCAUUUCUGUUCCACAUGCUGUUGGGUUGAGAAAAACUAAUAAUUUUUUUCUCCAGGAUGCCAGUUGUUCAGAAGCAAGGGAGGGAAGGCUGCAGAGGAGGUUUGGGACUGCUUACUCAGUGAGGCAUGGAGAUAAUGGCUGUGUGAUACUUGCUUAACAGAACCAAACAAGGCUCCUUGCAGUGUUGCCUCCCUUCUUGGUGAAGGACAGAACCCCCAGCUGUCGUUUGAGGAAGCCGUGGAUGUGGGAUGUGACCUGGCAGCAAUUUGUCCUUGCCACAGUGGGGCUGGGAAAACCUUUAAUCCUUUACAUACACCAGUGACUCUGCUGCAGGCUUCUGGGUGGGAUUGGACCUGGGACUAGCCCACUGUGCUCGGGCAGCACGAGGAUGAGACCUUCGUUUUUUGGCUGGAGCAUUUCUGGAGCCAGAACUUUGUGGUUCACCCCACUGAUGGCAAAGAUUUGUGACUCUCACCCUUGUUAUUUCU